UUUCCGUAGGUGAACCUGCGGAAGGAUCAUUAUUGUAUAACCGAGGUGCGAGGGCUGUCGCUGACCCGAAAGGUCGUGCACGCCCGAGUGCCCUCACACACAUCCAUCUCACCCCUAAGUGCACCACCGCGUGGGUCCCCCUUUGGCUUGUUCGGAGGGGGGCUUACGUUUUCACACAAACUUUGUAUGCAGUGUAGAGUGUAUUUUUUGUUUUUGCGAUCACGCAAUCAAUACAACUUUCAACAACGGAUCUCUUGGCUCUC
rnacentral:misc_RNA from 1 species